rnacentral:rRNA from 1 species
UGGGGAAUAUUGCACAAUGGGCGCAAGCCUGAUGCAGCCAUGCCGCGUGUAUGAAGAAGGCCUUCGGGUUGUAAAGUACUUUCAGCGGGGAGGAAGGUGUUGUGGUUAAUAACCACAGCAAUUGACGUUACCCGCAGAAGAAGCACCGGCUAACUCCGUGCCAGCAGCCGCGGUAAUACGGAGGGUGCAAGCGUUAAUCGGAAUUACUGGGCGUAAAGCGCACGCAGGCGGUCUGUCAAGUCGGAUGUGAAGUCCCCGGGCUCAACCUGGGAACUGCAUCCGAAACUGGCAGGCUUGAGUCUUGUAGAGGGGGGUAGAAUUCCAGGUGUAGCGGUGAAAUGCGUAGAGAUCUGGAGGAAUACCGGUGGCGAAGGCGGCCCCCUGGACAAAGACUGACGCUCAGGUGCGAAAGCGUGGGGAGCAAACA